AUGGGAACGCGAAGAACCUUACCUACUCUUGACAUCCAGAGAACUUAGCAGAGAUGCUUUGGUGCCUUCGGGAACUCUGAGACAGGUGCUGCAUGGCUGUCGUCAGCUCGUGUUGUGAAAUGUUGGGUUAAGUCCCGCAACGAGCGCAACCCUUAUCCUUUGUUGCCAGCGGUCCCGGGCCGGGAACUCAAAGGAGACUGCCAGUGAUAAACUGGAGGAAGGUGGGGAUGACGUCAAGUCAUCAUGGCCCUUACGAGUAGGGCUACACACGUGCUACAAUGGCGCAUACAAAGAGAAGCGACCUCGCGAGAGCAAGCGGACCUCAUAAAGUGCGUCGUAGUCCGGAUUGGAGUCUGCAACUCGACUCCAUGAAGUCGGAAUCGCUAGUAAUCGUAGAUCAGAAUGCUACGGUGAAUACGUUCCCGGGUC
rnacentral:rRNA from 1 species